rnacentral:rRNA from 1 species
AUACGGAGGAUCCGAGCGUUAUCCGGAUUUAUUGGGUUUAAAGGGAGCGUAGGUGGAUAGUUAAGUCAGUUGUGAAAGUUUGCGGCUCAACCGUAAAAUUGCAGUUGAUACUGGCUGUCUUGAGUACAGUAGAGGUGGGCGGAAUUCGUGGUGUAGCGGUGAAAUGCUUAGAUAUCACGAAGAACUCCGAUUGCGAAGGCAGCUCACUGGACUGCAACUGACACUGAUGCUCGAAAGUGUGGGUAUCAAACAGGAUUAGAUACCCUGGUAGUCCACACAGUAAACGAUGAAUACUCGCUGUUUGCGAUAUACAGUAAGCGGCCAAGCGAAAGCAUUAAGUAUUCCACCUGGGGAGUACGCCGGCAACGGUGAAACUCAAAGGAAUUGACGGG